rnacentral:rRNA from 1 species
CAUGGUCUUUUGUUUAUAUAAAAGAUUUGGCCUGCCCUAUGAUUAAUUUUAAAUGGCUGCAGUAUUUUGACUGUACAAAGGUAGCAUAAUCAUUUGUCUUUUAAUUGAAGGCUGGAAUGAAUGGUCGGAUGAAAAAUAUACUUUAUUUAUUUUAUAAUAAAAAUUUAACUUUUUAGUCAAAAGGCUAAUAUAUAUUUAUAGGACGAGAAGACCCUAUAGAAUUUUAUUUUUUUAUAUAUGUUAUUUUUUUUGGUUUUUAAAUAGUGAUAUAUAUAUAUUAAUUUUGUUGGGGUGACAGAAAAAUUUAUAUAACUUUUUCUAUUAUAUUCAUUUAUUUAUGUUUUUUUGAUCCUUUAUUAGGGAUUAUAAGAUUAAAUUACCUUAGGGAUAACAGCGUUAUUUUUUUGGAGAGUUCUUAUCGAUAUAAAAGUUUGCGACCUCGAUGUUGGAUUAAAAUAAGUGACAGGAGUAGAAUAUUGUUUACUAGGUCUGUUCGACCUUUAAAUUUUUACAUGAUCUGAGU